rnacentral:rRNA from 1 species
GCGCAGCAGGCGCGAAACCUCCGCAAUGCGCGACAGCGUGACGGGGUCAUCCCGAGUGCCGCCCGCUGAGGACGGCUUUUCCCCAGUGUAAGGAACUGGGGGAAUAAGGGGAGGGCAAGUCUGGUGUCAGCCGCCGCGGUAAUACCAGCUCCCUGAGUGGUGGGGAUGAUUACUGGGCCUAAAGCGUCCGUAGCCGGCUUGGCAAGUCUUCCGUUAAAUUCGAUGAUUUAAUCGUCGAACUGCGGGAGAUACUACCAAGCUAGGGGGCGGGAGAGGCCGGCGGUAGUCCCGGGGUAGGGGUGAAAUCCUAUAAUCCCGGGAGGACCACCAGUGGCGAAGGCGGCCGGCCAGAACGCGCCCGACGGUGAGGGAUGAAAGCUGGGGGAGCGAACCGGAUUAGAUAUGAAGUUGAGUUUUUACCAGCUUCACUAGAAACCCGGGUAGUCC